GCAGCAGCCGCGGGAAUACAGAGGGUGCGAGCGUUAAUCGGAUUUACUGGGCGUAAAGCGUGCGUAGGCGGCUUCUUAAGUCGGAUGUGAAAUCCCUGAGCUUAACUUAGGAAUUGCAUUCGAUACUGGGAAGCUAGAGUAUGGGAGAGGAUGGUAGAAUUCCAGGUGUAGCGGUGAAAUGCGUAGAGAUCUGGAGGAAUACCGAUGGCGAAGGCAGCCAUCUGGCCUAAUACUGACGCUGAGGUACGAAAGCAUGGGGAGCAAACAGGAUUAGAUACCCCGGUAGUCCCUGUCUCUUAUAA
rnacentral:rRNA from 1 species